AUUGAACGCUGGCGGCAGGCCUAACACAUGCAAGUCGAGCGGAUGACGGGAGCUUGCUCCUUGAUUCAGCGGCGGACGGGUGAGUAAUGCCUAGGAAUCUGCCUGGUAGUGGGGGACAACGUUUCGAAAGGAACGCUAAUACCGCAUACGUCCUACGGGAGAAAGCAGGGGACCUUCGGGCCUUGCGCUAUCAGAUGAGCCUAGGUCGGAUUAGCUAGUUGGUGGGGUAAUGGCUCACCAAGGCGACGAUCCGUAACUGGUCUGAGAGGAUGAUCAGUCACACUGGAACUGAGACACGGUCCAGACUCCUACGGGAGGCAGCAGUGGGGAAUAUUGGACAAUGGGCGAAAGCCUGAUCCAGCCAUGCCGCGUGUGUGAAGAAGGUCUUCGGAUUGUAAAGCACUUUAAGUUGGGAGGAAGGGCAGUAAGUUAAUACCUUGCUGUUUUGACGUUACCGACAGAAUAAGCACCGGCUAACUCUGUGCCAGCAGCCGCGGUAAUACAGAGGGUGCAAGCGUUAAUCGGAAUUACUGGGCGUAAAGCGCGCGUAGGUGGUUUGUUAAGUUGGAUGUGAAAGCCCCGGGCUCAACCUGGGAACUGCAUCCAAAACUGGCAAGCUAGAGUACGGUAGAGGGUGGUGGAAUUUCCUGUGUAGCGGUGAAAUGCGUAGAUAUAGGAAGGAACACCAGUGGCGAAGGCGACCACCUGGACUGAUACUGACACUGAG
rnacentral:rRNA from 1 species